rnacentral:lncRNA from 1 species
UCCUUUUACAUCAGUUUGUUUAAUCUGCGUUUAGUCUUUCAGUAUGCAAAGUCGUGUUUGGUGGACCAUUAUUUAAUUAUUUAUUCAUAGUUUAGACAACUUAACAAGAGAGUUAUUCGCAGGUCACAAGCACGAAAGCACGUCUUGCAAUUGCGCUGCACUUCGUCAGUGGAUCCUGUUUAAGGUAGCUUGUUUAACUGUGGAUAGGGUAGGGUAGGGUAGGGUUGUCUUCGUGAAUACAAACUUUUAUAGGCUGGCAUGCCUGAGUUCAACAUUCAUGUUCUUAAUUAGCCUCCAUUUGACUGCCAUUUUAUAAAUAGUUUAUAUAUUGAGUCAAAAACAUUAAUUUCAACUUUACAUUCAUAAUUAUUACUCAAUUAUUAUCCACACAUUUUUUGGGAUCUACUGCUAUUCCUCUUUAUAAAUGAUUUAUAAAUUUGCCAAACAGAGGCUUAAAUUUCACUUUCUGUUAAUGUCAUUUUCUUAUAUGAUGGAAAAAUUGUGCAUGUCAAGAUUAAGCAUUUGGGUGCAUUAUGAAACUAGCACUCCCAAUGAAAUAACACGAAGUUCCUAUUCGCCAAAGAAAUUCUUUUACAUAUCGUGUUUUAUUUGAUUUAGCAAUUGUUUUAUGGACCACAGUUUUUAUUUUUAUAUGGAUAAACAUGUUAGUUGUUGAUAUGAAAUCUCAUCGUGCAUACUUGUACGUGUCAUUUUUGUCAUUUCACCUAUUGUUUCUUUAUGUCCUUAGGGAUGCAAUUUUCUCAAAAUGUGGGGACAGCAAAAGAGGUGGAGGCAAUAGUCAGAGAGAACGGAGCUGUACCUGCAACCAUUGCUAUUUUGGAUGGUGUACCAUGCACAGGUGUUUAUCUGAAACUUCAUAUUUGUCUCACUUUGAGUUUCUUUUAAUUUCUGCCAUAUGUUUUUUUGUUCAUAAUAUUCAAAAUCCUCGUCAAAGGGUAUAGUACUAUGGUCCAUGAGAGUUUCUUGAUAAAGAUUAGAUGUGGUGCUUGGAAAUACAUUUUAAAGACAUGGACAGUGCUAGAAAUUAUCAACUAAAUUUAACAAAGUUCUUUUGUACUCCAAUUGACCUGUCAGAUAUAAUAUACCCAGCUAAACUUGUGCUCUUUUUCCUCCAUCAUCGAACAUGAUCCUAUCUUCAGAUUCUGCUAUUAGUUUUCUUAUAUUGGUACAAGACAUUGGAGAACUAGAAAUCCUAAGUUUCCUUUUUAUGAAGUUGUGAACAGAUCACAUAAUGAAAACUGAACGUGGUGUUGUAGUGUAAUUUGUAAAUGGAAUUUUGUCUGGUGGCUCACUGGGUAAUCAUCUUAUUGACAACUAAUAUGACAUAUUGCCAUGAAUGAUGAG